rnacentral:rRNA from 1 species
UACGAAGGGGGCUAGCGUUGCUCGGAAUCAUUGGGCGUAAAGAGCGUGUAGGCGGCCCGGUAAGUCCGCCGUGAAAGUCCAGGGCUCAACCCUGGAAUGCCGGUGGAAACUGCCGGGCUGGAGUCCGGAAGAGGCGAGUGGAAUUCCUGGUGUAGCGGUGAAAUGCGCAGAUAUCAGGAGGAACACCAAUGGCGAAGGCAGCUCGCUGGGACGGUACUGACGCUGAGGCGCGAAAGCGUGGGGAGCAAACAGG